rnacentral:rRNA from 1 species
UACAGAGGUCUCAAGCGUUGUUCGGAUUCAUUGGGCGUAAAGGGUGCGUAGGCGGCGCGGUAAGUCGGGUGUGAAAUCCUGGAGCUCAACUCCCAGAACUGCCUUUGAUACUGAAGAUCUUGAGUUCGGGAGAGGUGAGUGGAACUGCGAGUGUAGAGGUGAAAUUCGUAGAUAUUCGCAAGAACACCAGUGGCGAAGGCGGACUCACUGGCCCGAUACUGACGCUGAGGCACGAAAGC